rnacentral:rRNA from 1 species
ACGACGCUGGCGGCGUGCCUAAUACAUGCAAGUAGAACGCUGAAGAGAGGAGCUUGCUCUUCUUGGAUGAGUUGCGAACGGGUGAGUAACGCGUAGGUAACCUGCCUUGUAGCGGGGGAUAACUAUUGGAAACGAUAGCUAAUACCGCAUAACAAUGGAUGACACAUGUCAUUUAUUUGAAAGGGGCAAUUGCUCCACUACAAGAUGGACCUGCGUUGUAUUAGCUAGUAGGUGAGGUAAUGGCUCACCUAGGCGACGAUACAUAGCCGACCUGAGAGGGUGAUCGGCCACACUGGGACUGAGACACGGCCCAGACUCCUACGGGAGGCAGCAGUAGGGAAUCUUCGGCAAUGGGGGCAACCCUGACCGAGCAACGCCGCGUGAGUGAAGAAGGUUUUCGGAUCGUAAAGCUCUGUUGUAAGUCAAGAACGGGUGUGAGAGUGGAAAGUUCACACUGUGACGGUAGCUUACCAGAAAGGGACGGCUAACUACGUGCCAGCAGCCGCGGUAAUACGUAGGUCCCGAGCGUUGUCCGGAUUUAUUGGGCGUAAAGCGAGCGCAGGCGGUUUGAUAAGUCUGAAGUUAAAGGCUGUGGCUCAACCAUAGUUCGCUUUGGAAACUGUCAAACUUGAGUGCAGAAGGGGAGAGUGGAAUUCCAUGUGUAGCGGUGAAAUGCGUAGAUAUAUGGAGGAACACCGGUGGCGAAAGCGGCUCUCUGGUCUGUAACUGACGCUGAGGCUCGAAAGCGUGGGGAGCGAACAGGAUUAGAUACCCUGGUAGUCCACGCCGUAAACGAUGAGUGCUAGGUGUUGGAUCCUUUCCGGGAUUCAGUGCCGCAGCUAACGCAUUAAGCACUCCGCCUGGGGAGUACGACCGCAAGGUUGAAACUCAAAGGAAUUGACGGGGGCCCGCACAAGCGGUGGAGCAUGUGGUUUAAUUCGAAGCAACGCGAAGAACCUUACCAGGUCUUGACAUCCCGAUGCUAUUUCUAGAGAUAGAAAGUUACUUCGGUACAUCGGUGACAGGUGGUGCAUGGUUGUCGUCAGCUCGUGUCGUGAGAUGUUGGGUUAAGUCCCGCAACGAGCGCAACCCCUAUUGUUAGUUGCCAUCAUUCAGUUGGGCACUCUAGCGAGACUGCCGGUAAUAAACCGGAGGAAGGUGGGGAUGACGUCAAAUCAUCAUGCCCCUUAUGACCUGGGCUACACACGUGCUACAAUGGUUGGUACAACGAGUUGCGAGUCGGUGACGGCGAGCUAAUCUCUUAAAGCCAAUCUCAGUUCGGAUUGUAGGCUGCAACUCGCCUACAUGAAGUCGGAAUCGCUAGUAAUCGCGGAUCAGACGCCGC